CACCAGAAUUAGUAGCCCACGUAUGUCACCGGAAAACAGAACCUCCGAAAAUCUGACUUCCGGCGAAGGGAAAACGAAAUCAGUACAAUAUUUUAUACCACGUUGUGAACGGAGAUACGAGGUGCUGUGCUCUCAUCUUCCCUCCAUCCCAGUCCAGCCUCACUGAAGAUCAUCACUUAGGGAGAAGUCAUGAUGGACAACGUUGAAGACCUGCCAAAAGCUGUGUGCAUUCCCUUUGGACCUACAUAUGCACUGUAUCUCAACUACCCCAAGUCUAUGAAGAGCACAUUCAAUUUCAUCCAACAGCCAGCCGUUGCAGUGUCCAGGUGUCAUGCCCUGCUCAUCUGAUCCUCCUGUGUGCCACGCCCCCUCAUUUACCUCGUGUGAAACCCCGAUUGUCA